GAUCCUGGCUCAGGAUGAACGCUAGCUACAGGCUUAACACAUGCAAGUCGAGGGGCAGCGGGGAGUGGCAACACUCCGCCGGCGACCGGCGCACGGGUGAGUAACACGUAUCCAACCUGCCCUGAGCUUGGGGAUAGCCCUCUGAAAGGAGGAUUAAUACCCGAUGUGGUUGUUUGGCGACAUCGCCUUUCAAUUAAAGAUUCAUCGGCUCAUGAUGGGGAUGCGUAUGAUUAGCUUGUGGCGGGUAACGGCCCACCAAGGCGACGAUCAUUAGGGGUUCUGAGAGGAAGGUCCCCCACAUAGGAACUGAGACACGGUCCUAACUCCUACGGGAGGCAGCAGUGAGGAAUAUUGGUCAAUGGUCGAGAGACUGAACCAGCCAAGUAGCGUGAAAGGAUGACUGCCCUACGGGUUGUAAACUUCUUUUAUGCGGGAAUAAAGUGAGGCACGUGUGCCUUUUUGUAUGUACCGCAUGAAUAAGCAUCGGCUAAUUCCGUGCCAGCCGCGGC
rnacentral:rRNA from 1 species